UACGUAGGGGGGCAAGCGUUGUCCGGAUUUAUUGGGCGUAAAGAGCGUGUAGGCGGCCAUACAGGUCCGUUGUGAAAACUGGAGGCUUAACCUCCAGACGUCGAUGGAAACCGUAUGGCUAGAGUCCGGAAGAGGAGAGUGGAAUUCCUGGUGUAGCGGUGAAAUGCGCAGAUAUCAGGAAGAACACCCGUGGCGAAGGCGGCUCUCUGGGACGGUACUGACGCUGAGACGCGAAAGCGUGGGGAGCGAACAGG
rnacentral:rRNA from 1 species